ACAAUGCAAUUUCUUUAUUAUCAAGCUUUAAAUUUGUUUUACUAGUGAUACAUUUCAUUAUUAUAUUGGUUCAUUAUUCCUUGCAGGAACAAUCAAAAGCCAACAUAUUUGUCUUACUAAUGAUACAUUUCAUUGUUAUAUUGGUCAUUCUUCCUUAUAGGAACAAUCAAAGGCCAACAUCGGGAACAGAGAAAGGAUGUAUACAAAACAUAGGUAUGGUUCUAGGUCAAUCCCUGUUAGAGUAGAAAAACUGGCACGAGAAAAGAAGAUGCUACCUGAUCUAGCAGAGUUGUACAAGGAAACUCACUAUAAUGAGAAAACACAUGAGUGAAUCUCAUCUCAAGCUCAGUGUAAUUAUGAAAAUAUGAUACAGACACAAGUUGAUCACCUCUCACAGCCGGGAUCAACCCCUUUGACUGCAGAAGAGCUAUCAAUCAAAGUCCUAAAGCCAAGGUCAGGC